rfam:Cylindrobasidium torrendii FP15055 ss-10 unplaced genomic scaffold CYLTOscaffold_344, whole genome shotgun sequence.
GGCAACCUGGCCGAGUGGUCUAAGGCGCUAGAUUUAGGAACCUUUCAACGGUACACUUAUCUCUAGUCUUUCGGGGCGUGAGUUCGAAUCUCACGGUUGUCA